AAAAAAUCCCGAAGGUUUAUAGGUUUGGUGUCAAAAGCUUUUUUUUUUUUUUUUUUUUACUAUGUCUCAUUUUAGCCUCACAAUAGAAAAAAAAAAUUCUUUCCAGAUCUUUCUCUCCUUGGAUGUUGCUUCUUCAGCACCACAUUGUUUCUCCACAGCCGUCCUCGGCCUCCUCCACCUCCUGUUCCCUCUAACCCAGCUCACCCAAACCCUAACUCCAUCUCUGCCCGCAUCCACGACGAUUUGGAUCCUCCGCU
rnacentral:lncRNA from 1 species